rnacentral:rRNA from 1 species
AUGAUUUAUUGAUUUUAUUAGUGGGUAUAGCACUGAAUAUCUAAUAUUGUUUUAGAAGGGAGUAUGAAAGUACUUACUUUGGAUAUUUAAUCUCAGAAUAACUAAGAUAAUUAGAUAAGUUAUCGGACUUUUUGCGAUAAGGUGA